CAUGUCCAAGCUGGAUUCCCUUUAGCCGGCUAAUAGUAAACAUGGUUGCCCGAUACCACGUGUUUUAGACUGGUUUCUGUAUCACUAACUGUUUCGUUGUUAUUGUUAAUCAGUGUUCAAUAAUUCCGUGUGCUGACUAUUUUUUGUUAUGAUAAUGCUAAUGAGCAAAGGAAGUGUAUCAUAGUUACAACAAAUUACUAUUUCUAAAUUGUCUUCGAGUGAAAGAGUUUAUGUAAAAAUCAUGGCCGCCCUCUUCCGGACAUACAGAUAGUUACAACGUCGUCGAGCACGUAUGGGUUUUCUGCUGAUCAAUUCAUGACCCUGAAAUACUGAGCUGCAUAUUAAGUUCCCAGUUACAGAUCUUGCCAAUCUGAGCCAGUAAUGAAACAACAAUGAAAUUCAUUUUCAUAUGAAUGAUGUAGUGUGUGCAGUGUUGGUAACUUACUGGCCUUCUACUUAUAAAACAGAAAUCCGCUUGAUGAAACAGUCAGCGUUAUGAUCCAGCAUCUUCAUCCCUGGGGAAGAAACUUGUGGUACACACCGUACAAAAGAUGAAUGGACCCUAGAUUAAGUUCCGAUAUUAAUCCUAUCCUGCCAGUAAUCAUACUUCGUUCAUCAAGCAAACGAGGGAGAGCGUCACGACAAGAGAGAAAACGCAUCUCUUAAAACCUCUCCUAUGGAAACGCCAAUAUGUGUUGUAAGGUACAUGUCAUGGGUAGUGCAUGAAUGUAUAUAUGUACAUGGGAAUUUAUUUAUUUACAAAUUCUAUGUACAGUAAUAUGGUAUAUUUUAGUGUGUGUUUGUGUAUCUUACUGUGUGGAUCAAUUAAAUAAAUCUAUGACUCAGCUAAUACAGAUCUAACAAUACAUGA